UGAGAGCGUACGACCAGGAGCAAACACCCAUGCCAGAGUAUGCUGUGUGGUGUCCUUUGCCUCAAUUUCUGACCUUGUGGUGUGAAAGUUCAACAAACAAAUAUUCCUUUAACAUUCCACUCCCCUCUCCCUCCACUGCAUCCCACUCACAGUUACUGUCCUUGGUCAGUGAAAACCGAGAGUUUAGAGGUCCAUUCAGAUUAGUUCACUU